CUUCAAUGGUUGACCUAGCGUUUCAGAAAGGCCAACAAGUCAUAAAUCACUAAAGUCAGGGUCAUUCCUGUAUCUCCAUCCAGUGUGAAAUAUCAAUCUGUGAACCACGAUGCUGGAAGUGAAAAAGGCUCCCAUUUGCAAAGAAAGUCAAAACGUAUAGUAUUUCCUCCAUGCUCUCUAUACAGCUAAUGGAAUAUAGCUAUCGGUCCAGCGCAAGGCAUAUCCUUCAUUGUCUCAUCCUACCCCACUGGAUCAAUACUAAUUGCAUGCGGUUCUGGUUUUCUUGUAAACUAAAAGGCUAUUGGCUGCUUAAAAGAAGGGGACAAUCUCUCUCACAACUGCAGCAGUAGGACCUGCCCGACAGUGGAACUAUGUCACCCUACACACCACGCUGUAUAUGACCCGUGACACCUUCGUCAGACUCUGACAUAUGUCAGUCCUCGAGUACAUUCUGGAGCCUGAGGUACAUACUGUGACAGGAAGGUGAGAAGGUGAGCAGCACUUCUCGAUCCUGGCAAAGCUAAAAUAAGGCUCCCCACUGUGAGUGCUAGCUUUUGUAAUUCGCGCGAGGACAUUGUCCUUCUCCGGCUUGCUUUUGUCGGCUUCUGUUGUCGUUGAAAGUCUGCUUUGCCCUUCUUGAAUUGAUGAUAUGUCACCACAAAAGCCUGUUAGCACAGCCCUGUUAGAGUAGACAGGUGGCUUUGCACAGGUGUUAGAUUGUGUGAAGACAGCCUGCUUGCAACUUCGAGAGUCUCUCACAUGAGCACACAAGCAACACAUGAACAAAAACAUUUGUCAGCUGGUUAGAGACAGACUUGAGAAACAAAUGAACAGCUUUAAGUGAGUAGAAGAACCUUUUUUAAGAAGUAAAUAUAGCAGCUGUUUCCUAAAGGUGUAUAUAGCACUUAGAGAAACUUGUUAAAAAAAAUCUGUUUCAAAACAGUGGUUAUUUUUGCAAAUUCAGUGUUUAUAAAGGAUGGGGUAAGGUGGCCCUCUCACCCCACCUUUAUUUUAAAUAAUUUUAUCCUAAUCUCAUCUCUCAUUUCCUCUCAUCUCCACACAUUUAUUGAAUUGUUAUGCACUUAUCAGUCUUGACUUUUUAUGUGAAUAUCCACAAUUUGAGAUCUGUCUGUCUAUCUCAAAAAUAUUCUGUUUAUGUAUGUAUGUACAUGUUAGGCCUAUUUCACUGUUAUUCAACUAAGUUGCCAAAAAUGCUUAAGUUUACAUGAAUAUUUGAUUCAUUUAAUAUUAAUGAGACGCAUGCAUUUGAUUUUUUUUAGUUUUGUGCAAUAUUUCUGUAGGUUUCUCCAUAUAAGAUAUUGAAUGAUGCAUUAUCAUCUUGCAAAAAUUCUUAAAUCUAUAUUCUAAAAUCAAAAUUUUAGCAUCUCAUUUGUCUGUAUACUGAUAUAAUUUUCCUUAAAACACAUUCUGUUUUCUUUGGUUCUACAGUCUUUAACAAUUCCAUAGCACGUUCACAAGGGGGCACUGUUGACACAUUAGCACUGCUUCCAUUUGAGAGCUGAAACUUGUCGAUCACCUACCAAUAUGCUAGAAAAUAGCUUAACAAAUGAUUCAUUUGCAAACGUUUGUUUAGAAUCCAAUGCAUCUUCAAAGACUGCUAGUGCCAUCUGCUGACUAAUUUUACUUCAGUGGCAGAAAUGCUCCGCUGAUCUGUGUUUAAAUGAGAAGGGUAAAAACAGUUUGGUUUCAAGUUGCUCUGUCGGUGGUCCUGUGCCAGAGUGACACGGAUCUUAUUAUACUGACAAAAUCUUUAAGGAUGAAGGGCAGCUUAGAGUGUCCUCAACCUAAAGCAAAGCGAGGGAUGUGUGCAAAUAACAAAUAUAAGCAACACCAGCCAGGGAUUCCCACAAAGCUCCUUUGACAUUUUGUUUGAUGUACCACUGGGUCACUUAACAUUUGCCAUGAGUGGCACUUAUCGACAAACACCUGGAUUUCCGAAGCUUUGGUUUAUUCAGGGUAUUUGUCGACUGCGAGUGCGCUAUUCAGGGGACAUGAAGGAUACGACUCCCUCUAGAACCUUGACUUCAUUGUCGUCAAUAACAGAACAGGAUAGGGACAGGCGCUGACUAACGACGUACGAACAACCAGGCGUAAACCUUGAGAGGACUGUUGCUAUUGACAAGUUAUUCAAUAUUCAAGACACCGUGGUCUUUUCAUUUUGCUUUGCUUGCUCGAAAAUGAUCGUUAAUAAUAAAAUGAGAAAAUAUAGUGCCUUGGAGACAAAGUGCCUUGUAAUCUCAUUGUGGUUCGAGAUUUUAUCAAGUCUCAAUGCUUUAUUUUUUUUAUCACCCAUUAGUACUUAAAUUUGUCUGUUUUUUCAGAUUUAAUUUUUCCAAGUGAUUUUAAGAUGCUUCAUACUACAAAGUCUUGAGAGUCUCACAAACCAGCUUGAACAGAAAUAACUUGAAUUUAGUAGUUCUCGUGAUUCUUUCAAGCUGUCAGUCUCAGGCAGCAUUCAAAGUCCUAUUUACCCAAAGCAAAUGGAAAAUCAUCAUGAUUUGCCACAGUUCCCAGAUAUUAGAAGUUUAUUAAUCACCAAAUGGAUCAUAAAAUAGAUUUUGCAUGGUGAUGUUUCUGCCAAUUAAAAAAAUAUCUAUUAAAAGUUGCGUAUUAAGCCUCAUUAUGGAUCAUUAAUAUGCAGCGAACAGCCAGGCCUAAUCAAUCAAGAUCACUACAGUUAUGAUGUCCUACUUGGAGCGAUGUGGGAAUAGAUAGCCACCAUUUUAUAAUCAUCUAGGUUCCUGUGGAAAAGUGAAACUGUCUGAGAAAUGUACAGUGCUGCAUAUCUCCAUUAAAUCAGUAUUGUCAGGCAAGUUCUCCCUGGUUUUCAUACACAGUGUUCUUGACUUCUGUGAAUUUUUUUUAUUUAGUGAUAGUAAAAAUGAUGGAUUUUUUUUUUUUUUCUUACAAACAU